CAGUAGGGAGGAAGGUAGUGUAGUUAACACCUGCACUAUUUGACGUUACCUACAGAAGAAGCACCGGCUAACUCCGUGCCAGCAGCCGCGGUAAUACGGAGGGUGCGAGCGUUAAUCGGAAUUACUGGGCGUAAAGCGCAUGCAGGCGGCCUGUUAAGUCAGAUGUGAAAGACCCGGGGCGUUAACCUCGGAAUUGCAUUUGAAACUGGCAGGCUAGAGUCUUGUAGAGGGGGGUAGGAAUUUCAGGUGUAGCGGUGAAAUAGCGUAGAGAUCUGAAGGAAUACCAGUGGCGAAGGCGGCCCCCUGGACAAAGACUGACGCUCAGAUGCGAAAGCGUGGGGAGCAAACAGGAUUAGAUACCCUGGUAG
rnacentral:rRNA from 1 species